rnacentral:tRNA from 1 species
UUCUCUGUAGUUCAGUUGGUUAGAACACUGCACCGGCAUCGCAGGGCCGCAGGUUUGAUUCCUGCCAGAGGAC